AAAUGGCACUACAAAUCCACUGGCUGUG
rnacentral:sRNA from 1 species